CGGGGUCUCUGGGAGCGGCCCUGGCCGCCGCACCCAUCCUCCCAUCCGUGAGGUUAAGUGUUUCGCGAGUAGGAAGUCGCGGACGUGGAGCCCGCGAGGGCCUCCAACCUCUACCAAAACUCUUGCCUCCAAACCUGCGGUCUGAGCGACAAGUUAAUAGUCA
rnacentral:misc_RNA from 1 species